rnacentral:rRNA from 1 species
CAGUCGCCGCGGUAAGACGAACCGUGCGAACGUUAUUCGGAAUUACUGGGCUUAAAGCGCGUGUAGGCGGGCCGCCACGUCGGUUGCUGAAAUCCCCCGGCUCAACCGGGGAAGUGGCAUCGAUACGAGCGGCCUUGAGGGGGGUAGGGGGAUCUGGAACUUCCGGUGGAGCGGUGAAAUGCGUUGGGAUCGGAAAGAACACCAACGGCGAAAGCACUCUGCUGGGCCGACACUGACACUGAGAGACGAAAGCUAGGGGAGCAAAUGGGAUUAGAGACCCGUGUAGUCCCUGUCUCUUAUA